UCCUGGUGGCUCAGAUGGUAAAGCAUCUGCCUGCAAUGCGGGAGACCUGGGUUUGAUUCCUGGGUCAGGAA
rfam:Ovis aries breed Texel chromosome 11, whole genome shotgun sequence.